GUAGUUUCUCUUCCGAAAAAACAGAAGUAGAUAGAAACACGCGCAAAGGACCUUUCAUUUCCUCUCAUUCCGAUAAAAAAGCCCCCAAGAAAUCCAGAAUGAUGCUAAUGCCCUAUCUCAGCCCACCGAUUGUCUUUCUCCGCCGCCUUCCACACUGCCUCAAGGAUUCUCUCCAUAAGAUAAGUGGUUUCACCCUUGAUAGAUCCUUCUUUUGCUAAACUGUGUGCUGUCACAUUUGUAUUUCUUCCCACAAAACUGAACCGGCAAUCCACAAAGCCUCGACUUGCCCUUUUUCACAUCUUCAACAAUAUGGCUUAUUUUUGAAACAUCCUCUUUUUCAUUUUGUAGUUUUUUCACCAUUGUGAGACUAUCCCCUUCCAAUAUCACUCUCUAGAAACCGAGAUCUAGGCCCAUUUGAACCUCUUGGAGGCAUGCAAUCGCUUCACCCGCAAAAGAGGAAGAUGACCUUGAAAAGAAGUGUCAAAAUUGAUCUUCACAAACAAUCGUUCAGGUGGCUGCCAUCUCACCUGUUGGACAUAUCCGGCAGAUAAGUGACCCUUAAUCUCCUCUAAUUCUUUUAAAUACGAUACUAUGAAUUCAAUCGUAUUUAUAUUUUGUCUGAUUUUCCUUUCAUGCACUUGUUUGUUCCUGUCGCCCCAAAUCACCCAAAUGGCACAAGUAAUUAGGCUGUGUAAAUAUGAUAAAGAAUUCAUGAAUAACUAGUCCAUCCACUGUUUGUAACUUGCACAUGACAUUUCUGUAGGCCAAGUAAUAUUUAACAGACUCCAGAUCUCCUUGACAGCUUGACAGUCACGGAAAACAUGUUCCAAAGACUCAUCUUUCUAUGUACAUCUAGGACAAGCAGUCAAAUUUCGCAACCUUCUUUUUUGUAAAUUUUUUAAAAUAGGGACAGUUUUUGUAGGCUUUCCAAAAUGUAAUUUUAUUUUAUUUUCUAUAGCUCUGCUAGCCAUAUUUUCUUGUAUACCUGCCUAAAUGUAGUCUAAUGUAAAUUAGGCUCCACUUCAACAGACUCUAUCAAUAAUAGCUUGUAUCCACUUCUAACUGAAUAUUCUCCCGAGGUCUCACCUCUCUAGGCUUGUUUGUCCUUUUGCCAGUGAUGAGAAAGAGGAAUACUUAAGACUUUCCUCGCCUCAUCUACAGACAUUAUGUGAGCAAUAAGAUCUUCUUUCCAUCGUCUAGAAUUUGGAUCUAACAAUUUAGAGACCAGAUUAAAAUUUUGUCCUAUACCAUUUUCGCGUAGCCUAUAAUUCUCCAAUUCUGACACCUAAGCAUCUUUCCAUAUCAAAAUUUUGGAUCCAUAACGCACCCUCUAGCACAUCCCUGACUUGAACAAUCCUUUUAAUUCAGAUAACAAGAUAAAUGCCACCCUUGCUUUGCUAAUAAGGCUGUAUUAAACUUGGAUAAGCUUUGAAACCUAGACCUCCUCAUCUUUUAACAAGCAUAAUGAUUUCUAAUCACACCAAUGAAUGCCUCUUUUAUUAUGACAUUUUUGCCACCAAAAUUUAGUAAUAAUUUGUUCCAUUUCACCAUAUAAUGAAUUCAGCAAAAGAAAGCACGACAUAGUGUAAGUAGGAAUUGCUUGUAUAAAAUACUUUUAAUAAAUACAUGUUUUCCUCAUUGUGAGAGAGGUCUAAUGCACUAAUUGUGAAUUCUGUUUGACAAUCGAUCCUUCAAGUUCUGGAAAGCGUUUUUCCCCUUUCCCACCAUAUUUAGAAGGCCUAGAUAUGCCUUAGGCUUUGCUGAAUAACGAACUCUAAAAGUUUGAGAAAUCAUGUCUUUCUUUUGAUUCGAACAGUUAGAGCAAAAAAAUAAUAGCGAUUUCUCAAAGUUUAUAUAUUGGCUCGAACAUUCUUCAUAUUCCUUAAGUCCCUCCAUCAAAGUAGCCACUUCUCUAUCAACAACUUUCUCAAAUAAAAUGUAAUUGUCAGCAAACAUUAAAUGAGAUAUACUGGACCCCUUUUAUAGGCUUUGACCCCCUCAAACUCUUAUCUUCAAUAGCUAGUCUCAUUAUAGUUUAUUGGCCUUCGCUGCAUAUCAAGAACAAAUAUGGGCUUAGUAGGUCAACUUGACGAAGCCCUCUGGAUGGUUUAAAAGAACCACCAUCGAUGCCAUUCAUGUUAACUGAGUAAGAAACUGAUGAAACACAAUGCAUGAUCAGCUGCACCCAGGAAUUUGCAAACCCCAUCCUUUCCAUCAUACUCUUUAGUAAUCUUCACUCAACUCUAUCAUGAGCUUUGCUCAUGUCCAAUUUUAGAUCUAAGUAUCCCUUAUUCCCCAAAUGUCUCACCUUUAAAGAAUAAAAGAUUUCAUAAGCCAACAAUACAUUGUCUAUGAUCAUUCUAUCAGGAACAAAAGUGAUUUAAGCAACGUCAAUGCACACAUUCAGCACUUUCUUAAGACGAUUGGCAUUGUUUUGGCUAAAAUUUUGUAUAAAAGGCUAAUCGGCCGAUAUUGCAUUAGAUUGUGAGGCUGAGCAUUUUUAGGGAUCAAAACAAUAAGAGUGGAAUUUAUGGAUUCCAAAGAUUGCCCACCAUUUAGGACCUUAACGCAAAAUUUACCCACAUCGUUACCCACUACAUGCCAAUACUUCUAGUAGAACAGAGCCGGAAAACCGUCUAGACCAGCCGCCUUUGUUGGACCCAUCUCCUUUAACGCAACCAUAAGAACCUUCAUUUUAUAUUCUGCCGUUAAUUCUUAAUUCAUUGCUUCCAUUAUGUUUCGUUUGACCUCUGACAGAUUAUGUUCAACAUUACCAACCUUUUAAGUUUUGAAUAGAUUAGUAAAAUACUCUUUCCCUUCCUCGGCCAUCUUAUCAUGUUUGUCACAACCAUAUCAUUAGACCUUUUCAACUUGCGAAUACAAUUGAUGUCUUCUUUAGGAAGCAAACUAGUGAAAAAAUGUAAUAUUUUGAUCCCCCAUCUUUAGCCAAUUCGCUCUAGUGUCACAGGGCUAGAGUUUUCUCUUACGAUCCGUGCGGCCUUAGGCGAUCUGUUCGUCCAAACUCGCCUAAGUCAGUCUUUACUCGAGUGAUGAUUCUUAAAGAAUUCAUCCAAGGCACCAAAUUGAAGAGCGGAAGUGAUUUAUGCCAAAAGAAGCUAAGCCAAAGAAUAACAGAAAGAGCGCUCGCAAAGUGUUUGAGUAAAUGCUCUCAAUUCUCUUAUUCACAAAGAAUAAUGAAACAAUCAAUGGAGUGAGUACAACUGAGGGGGAGGCUCUCUAUUUAUAGUUGAGCUCCCUCAAAACCGACGGUCAAGAUACAUUUUCAUCGAUGGACGAGAUUUGCCAUAUCCUUUUAUUUUAGGGAUUUACAAGAUAUGUCAUAUCAAAUAUAAUCUAAUCUUUACAAGAUAUGAUUUUCUCUAUCUUCAAAGAUUAGUUACCAUAUUAGCCUAAGUUGCCAUUUCUUUCUUAUCGGGCCAAUCAAGCUUCAAUUUGACAGGCUUUUCUAAUAGUUCUUUGAAUCGGGCUAGUUCUCGUAGAUCAAAUGAUUCUCAUCUGAGUAAUAGACCUCCAUUAGAUGCAUUUGGUGCGAUGGUCACGGGCUUUGAACUGCGGCCUGUGACACUAGAGCAUUGCUCCCGAUAUGCCUCUUUUCUGUCCAUCUCCAUAUUUAACAAUAAUUUUGUGUUAAUGAGAUCAGUAAUAUUAUCAUUCGUCCUAUCCUCUCUGUUGAGUUCUUCAAUUCGCUUCCAAUAAUUAUUACACCCAUCUUCAUAUUUUCUCAUCACAAGACUCUUCUAAAGUCCACCAAGAUUCGAAUCUAAACUAUUAUACACAUGAUUCUUUUCUUCAAAAUUUGUGGAUAUAAGUAGUGGGCAAUGAUCAGAGAACGAGUGGGUCAAAUGCUGCACCUGGAACUUUAGGAAUAAUUGCCACCAAUCCAAAUUAGCAACUCCACAAUCUAGUCUCUCUCGAACAUUAUUAGCCUCAAAGUUGCCCCUAUCCCAAGUAAACCAGGAACUCACGUAGCCAAGAUCAUUCAAUUGGCAUUCAUCUAAGGCAUCUCGAAAGCUUUCCAUUCGGCCACUCUCUUGGGAUACCACCAUUCUUCUCAAGAGAAUAAAGAAUUUCGUUAAAAUCUUUGCCCACCAUCCAAAGGAGGUUGUUCCCGCACCUUAAGAGUCUUAAAUAAAUUCUAGGUGUCCUCCUUAUACCGAACAUCCGGAGUGCCAUAAAAAUUGGUAAAUCUUCAUGUCAUCCUCUCCGUCCCAUUAACUACCUCAACAUCAAUAUGAGUUUUAGACACGCUAAAUGCUCAUAUUUUCCUUCCACCUAAUAUAUAAUCCUCCUCGGGAACCAUCCACCAGCAUAUCUAUAUCAGAAAGAAAACCACAUUUUCUCCUUAUCACCUUCAUUUGAUUUGAAUCUAAUUUCGUCUCCAUAAAGAAGACUAUAUGAGGAUUAAUUUUCGUCUCCAUUCCUUCAUUUUCUUCCAUAACUACUCCCUCCUGUUUAGUAGACCGUCCAGAAAAAGAGCUACCUUCCAAAUUGAAACAAAGAAUAUGAUUUGUUUUGACCCACUGAUUAUAAAACAUUCUCUCUUGAUUAACAUUCCUCUAAUUGCCCCCAUAUUCCUCUCAUCAACUUCUAUAAUUGUUACCUCCAUUGUCUUUCCGAAGCCAUACACUGGUUGCAAUUGUCGCCUUUCGAAUCGGAGCUCUUAGAGCUAGAUCCCAUCCAAGUGUCACGAGCUGAAGUUUUAAAGCCUGUGACCAUCGCACCAAAUGCAUCCAAUGGAGGUUUAUUACUCAGAUGAGGAUCAUUUGGCCCACAAGAACUGGCCUGAUUCAAAGAGCUAUUGGGCAAGCCUAUCAGAUUGAAGCCUGGUUGGCUCGAUAAUGAAGAGAUAGCAACUUAGGCUAAUAUGGUAACUAAUCUUAGAAGAUAGAAGGAAUCAUAUCUUAUAAAGAUUAGAUAAGAUUUGAUAAGGCAUAUCUUGUAAAUCCCUAAAAUUAAGGAAUAUGGUUUAAUCUCACCUGUAGAUGUAAUUGUACUUGACCGUCGAUUUUGGGGAGCUCAACUAUAAAUAGAGAGCCUCCCCAUCAGUUGUACUGACUCCAUUCAUUGUUUCAUUAUUAUUUGUGAAUAAGAAUAAUAGAGAGCAUUUACUCAAACACUUUGCAAGCGUUCUCUAUUAUUUAUUCUUCUUUUAGCAUAAAUCGCUUUCGCUCUUCAAUUGAUGCCUUGGAGGAGUUCUAAAGAAUCUUCACUUUUGGGCGUAAAGGUUGACUUAGGCGAGUUUGGAGCAAACGGAUCGCCUAAGGCCACAUGGAUUGCGAGACGAAAGGUCUAGUUUUGUGACAAGUGGUAUCAGAGCCAGGAUUGAGCCAAGUGGUAUCCGAGCUGUUGGUUUGAACCAAGUGAUAUCUGAGUUAUUGGUUCAAAGGCACCGUUGGGAUGUCGAGAUAAGAGUUCAAAUAAAGGUGGCCGAGGAAGUCUUUGAGGGAGACAUUGUCGGCAGUAGAGCAACGUGUGGGUAAACUUGAGGGAUCCAUGGAAGAUGUAAAGGAGGCAUUCGAUGGGGUCGAGUAUCGCAUAGCAAACUGGAAGGACCAGUCCAGAGACUGUAAAGAUGUCUCUUAAUUCCACCAUGGAUAAGGUAAACGAGUUGUUUAAUUCUCACAGAGAUAGGCUAUCGGAAAGGAAUGAUGCUCUCGAGGCCAUGAUGAUGGCUUUGAAAGAGGAAACAAUGGCCACGAUGAGGGCUUUGAGCACAAGAAUAAAGGAGCUGACAUUAUGUUGACUAGCCAUGGGAAAUGGAGUGGCAAAUGUAGUACUCAGUAACGAGGAUGUCUCGAAGCCGAAAGAGUUUGUGGGGACAAGGCCUGCAUGCGAUGUGGACAAUUUCUUGUGGAGGAUGGAAAACUACUUCCGUGCCAAAGGCAUCAUGGAUGAUGCGGUUAAGGUAAACACUGCUCCAAUGUUUUUUAUUGACAUUGCAUUUUUAUGAUGGCGAUGUAGGACCACAGAUAAAACGCAAGGUGAGAUUGAGACGUGGCAAGAGUUCAAAUGCGAGUUGAAGGGGCAAUUUUACCUAGAAUUUGCUGAGGAAGAAGCUCAGGCAAAGUUGGAAGGGAUAACGCAACGGGUCAAAAUGGGGGAGUAUGUUUGAGAGUUCAAGGAACUCAUGCUCCAAGUUUCAGAUGUGACUGAGGAAGAAGCAUUGCUUGCUUUUCAGAAGGGAUUGAAGCCGUGGGUCAGAUAGGAGGUGGAACAAAGAGGUGUCCAAAAGCUGUCGGAAGCCAUGACGGUAGUUGAGUCCGUGGUCAAGCUUGGUCUAGGGAAAAACAAGUUUGGGUCUUCCAAGUCCGAGGAAAGGGGUGUAUGUGAAAUGGAUAACAAGGAAGAUAUUGUUGAUGGCAAUGACAACGGUGACCAUGGUUGUAAUAGGAAACCACGAGUUGGAAAGAAGAAACCCAAGAGGUAAAGGGACAAGUUGAAAUGCUUUCUUUGCGACAGUCCACACAUGUUAAAGAAAUGUCCGAAGAAAUUCGCGCUUAAGGAGAAGUUGGUGGGUAAGGCCUUAGUACUUGGUUCGAGCGCAAGGGGUGUCGAAGCUAAGGAGGUCGAAAGCGAGAAGAAGCCAGUGGAGUGCUUCUUGUGUCAUGGUCCGCAUAGGUUGCGGAAGUGUCUAAGGAAGUCUAUCAUCGAGGGGAAUGAUGAAGUGGACAGGGAGCCCAAGAAGCUUGGUUCGAGCAAGGGAAAAGUCGAAACCAAGAGGGCAAAGAGGAGCAAAAAGAAGCGAGUAAAGUGUUUCUUGUGCCGUGGUUCGCAUGAGUUGCGAAACUGUCCAAAGCAAGUCGGAGUCAAAAGAAAGGCAACGUUUGAGCUUGGUGAGUCAUCGGAGGGGCUUCCACCCAAGGAAGUGUGAGUUUGUCAUCGGACUUAAAGUAAAAAGUUACGAUAAAAACAGUGAAGCUGGGACAAAUGAGGCUCAAGUUGAGUGAGUCGUUGGAGUUUGCUGAGUCAUCGACAAGGUUUUCACCUAUGGGAGAGGUGGGUGGUACAUCGGAAAGAAGUGAUGCAUGUGGGACAGUUGACCAGAGUAAAUGCAAAGGUAUAUUUCGAACACUGUGAUAGUGUUUUGUAUUCUAACUUGUUAAUUUGGCAAGAACGUAGGGGCCCUUUCGAAGUUCUUAAGCAAAGAGGCCGAGAGAUUGUGGGCAAAGUAAAGCCAAGUGUGGUGAAUUAAGAGGAUUCUGUUCGAGUCAAGUUAGAAUGUUGACAAGAGAGUGAUAUAACUUCUUAUCAUCGAGAUGUACAAACGAGUAGGACGGUUCGAGUUAAGAAGCGACGUAAGCCGAGGUAAAAGUCCCAAAAGAAGGGGAAGGCUAAGGCGUUGAGACGAGACCGAGGCGAAUCCAGUCAGUGCCAUUUGGAAGUCGCAAUGAUGACGUUGCGAGAAUGGGUAGGGGAGAAUGUCAUGGGUCGAAGUUCAAAGCUCGUGACCAUCACAUCAAAUGCAUCCAAUGAAGGUCUAUUGCUCAGAUGGGGAUCAUUUGGCCCAUAAGAACUGACUCGAUUCAAAGAGCUAUUGGACAAGUCUGUCAGAUUGAAGCCUGUUAGCCCGAUAAUGAAGAGAUGACAACUUAGGCUAAUAUGGUAACUAAUCUUAGAAGAUAGAGACAAUCAUAUCUUGUAAAGAUUAGAUAAGAUUUGAUAAGACAUCUUGUAAAUCUCUAAAAUUAAGGGAUAUGGUUAAUCUCAUCCGUCAAUGUAAUUGUAUCUUGACCGUCGGUUUUGGGGGAGCUCAACUAUAAAUAGAGAGCAUCCCCCAGUUGUACUGACUCCAUUCAUUGUUUCAUUAUUCUUUGUAAAUAAGAGAAAUAGAGAGCAUUUACUCAAA